AGAGUUUGAUUAUGGCUCAGGAUGAACGCUGGCGGCAUGCCUAAUACAUGCAAGUCGAACGGACUACACCUUGAACCUGAAGUGCUUGCACAGAAGGGAAUUGGAUUAUGUAGUCAGUGGCGGACGGGUGAGUAACACGUGGGUUACCUGCCACACAGUAUGGAAUAACUAUUGGAAACGAUAGCUAAUACCGUAUAUGACCUUCGGGUUGAAAGGAGCGUUUGCUUCGCUGUGUGAUGGGCCUGCGGCGCAUUAGCUAGUUGGUAAGGUAAAGGCUUACCAAGGCGACGAUGCAUAGCCGGACUGAGAGGUCGAUCGGCCACAUUGGGACUGAGACACGGCCCAAACUUCUACGGAAGGCAGCAGUAGGGAAUUUUCCGCAAUGGACGAAAGUCUGACGGAGCAAUGCCGCGUGAGUGAUGAAGGUUUUCGAAUCGUAAAGCUCUGUUGUAAGGGAAGAAUAGCAAGUGUAGGAAAUGACAUUUGUCUGACGGUACCUUACCAGAAAGCCACGGCUAACUACGUGCCAGCAGCCGCGGUAAU
rnacentral:rRNA from 1 species